rnacentral:tRNA from 1 species
AGGAUAUUAGUUAAAUUUAUAACAUUAAAAUUGCUUUUUAAAAUUAAUAACUUUAUAUCUUU